rnacentral:rRNA from 1 species
AGAACGAACGCUGGCGGCAGGCCUAACACAUGCAAGUCGAACGCUCCGCAAGGGGAGUGGCAGACGGGUGAGUAACGCGUGGGAAUCUGCCCAAUGGUACGGAACAACCAAGGGAAACUUUGGCUAAUACCGUAUGUGCCCGAAAGGGGAAAGAUUUAUCGCCAUUGGAUGAGCCCGCGUCGGAUUAGCUAGUUGGUGAGGUAAAGGCUCACCAAGGCAACGAUCCGUAGCUGGUCUGAGAGGAUGAUCAGCCACACUGGGACUGAGACACGGCCCAGACUCCUACGGGAGGCAGCAGUGGGGAAUAUUGGACAAUGGGCGCAAGCCUGAUCCAGCCAUGCCGCGUGAGUGAUGAAGGCCCUAGGGUUGUAAAGCUCUUUCAGCGGGGAAGAUAAUGACGGUACCCGCAGAAGAAGCCCGGCUAACUUCGCGCCAGCAGCCGC